UACGUGGGGUGCAAGCGUUAUCCGGAAUUAUUGGGCGUAAAGAGAUGCGUAGGUGGUCAGUAAAGUUUUUGGUGAAAGCCCCGGGCUCAACCUGGGAAUUGCAUUCGAGACUGCAUGGCUAGGAUGCGGAAGAGGGAAGCGGAAUUUCCGGUGUAGCGGUGAAAUGCGUAGAUAUCGGAAGGAACACCAGUGGCGAAAGCGGCUUCCUGGUCCAGCAUCGACGUUCAGGCACGAAAGCGUGGGGAGCAAACAGG
rnacentral:rRNA from 1 species